CGGAAACGGAGCGGCUGGAGGCGAAGGGAAUGAGGCUGGGCCCCAGGGCUGCGAGAAGGGGCGGACCUGGGCCCUCGCCCCGAACACCCCAGGGUCCUCAGGAACAAAACACACGCGCGCACGGUACAACUGGCAACCCGCAGCCGCAGCGGCAGGUGCACACCUGCGGCCGACGCUCCGUGCGCUCCGGGGUCCUGCACUCUGCGCCCCGCAUCCUCGCUUCCACUCGCUCUGCACCUGCCCCCGCCCCUAGGACACCCCAGCCGGCUCCAGCCGUGUCCCCCGCUCGGCCGACACCUGGCACCAGGCUGGUUUUCUCCAUUGCGCUGCCCUGGUUUCUGAGCCAAGCGGGCUGCGUUUCUAUUUGCUGUACUUCUGCUGGUCCUCAGCACUGGGAGGAGGAACUCAGGCUGUGCUCCGAGGGAGGAGAGGCAUGGGGGCCCGAGGACCAAUGACAACAGCUGCUUGCCUCCUUCCUUUCCACCCGGCCUGGCCGGUGCCCGACACGCCCGUGAGAUGCCACCACUCCUGCCCUUCGUCUUUGUAAGUUCUCUGCCACAGAAGCUGAACGAUGCCUUGGAAAGAAUUCUGGUUGGAUUCCAGGUCUGGCUAAAGCCAUGGGUCCCGUGAGAUGGUGGGCAAGUCAUCUCCCCUUUGGGAACCCUACUAUUCUUCCCUGUAAAAUAGGAAGGAAGAGUUGGAUUAAGUCAGUGUUUUCCAAAAUAUAAAACACAGCAAUGGUAGGAUGCCUAAUAGUCUUAGGGUCUCAAGACUAUUAAAUACCUUUGAAUCAGAUCGUGCUAUAGGUAUUUCCUUUUCUU
rnacentral:lncRNA from 1 species